GCUGAAUCCUCUUUCGCCACAAAAUAUACGCUUCUCCACUACAUACACAACAUGCACAGACACUCACAAACGUACACUCGGGGUGGUGACCGUUGUCUUUCUCUAUUGUCUAUUUCUUGAAGCAUGCCGAUUCUUUUACACUUUGAUUUUGCCCAUAAAUCCAAACAAGGGAUAAAAUCUUGAAGCUAAAAUGUUGUUAUUUUUGCUUUCUCCAGGUGAGGAAAGAGAAAUUAGGUGACAGAAUCACUGCCCUUCACCAGCUAGUGUCUCCAUUUGGGAAGACUGACACAGCCUC
rnacentral:misc_RNA from 1 species